rnacentral:lncRNA from 1 species
UUUGAAGUUGAUUCAUGUUAAAUUUCAGCUUCUGUUUUGAAUUUUUUCUCCAUCUUUGACCCUAGGCUUUGACCUAGUGGUUUGUGGCUUACAUUUGACCUUUGUUUUCAGGUUGAGCAUUCAAGUUCCAUGGUUAAUGAUGCUUCAUCAUUUGAGCAUUGAUGUUUGCCUUUGAUUACUAACAUUUGUGUGUUUUGUAGGUUGAUGUUAACUCAUUUGAGUUUGACCUUUGGCUUACACCUUAUGUACAUUGGGAUUGUUU